UACGGGGGGGGCAAGCGUUGUUCGGAAUUACUGGGCGUAAAGGGCGCGUAGGCGGGUGGACAAGUCUCUCGUGAAAGCCCACGGCUCAACCGUGGAAUUGCGGGAGAUACUGUCUGUCUUGAGUCCGGGAGAGGAGGGUGGAAUUCCCAGUGUAGCGGUGAAAUGCGUAGAUAUUGGGAGGAACACCGGUGGGGGAGGCGGCUCCCUGGAACGGUACUGACGCUGAGGCGCGAAAGCUAGGGGAGCAAACGGG
rnacentral:rRNA from 1 species